rnacentral:lncRNA from 1 species
CGACCCGCCCCGCUCCUCCCAACCGCCGCUGCGCUCCGUGCCCCGCGCCGCAGGGGGACGUCGGGCAGUGCCCGGGCGCCGCAGCUUUCGACCUUCGCUCGCUGAGGGAGAGGGGGUGAGGCGCAUUGCUGCUUGAAUCCCAGCAGAAGUGGGGAAGCGCCUAGGAAACCGGCGUUAAACUAUGGGAAAAAAAUAAAUAAAGAGUUGUGGAAGCUAGGUGCGUCUCAGCCCCUGUUUGUGAUCUGAGUGCGAAUCGGGGGUAUUUAGCGUUCUUUAUUCGGGCCCUGGGCCUCUAGGAGAGCUCACUUCAUAAUUUUCAGCUCUUUGGGGUGGAUUUUGAUUUAAAAUGGUAACCAACGCCUUCAGCUGUCGUCCCUCUCGCAGUGUCUUUGUCUCAGAGCUAAGGCUUUGCGGAAAGAAUACCAAAAGAGUCGGCUGUGUGUAAGAACUGCCUUUAAAAAGGCAGAGUAUUGGUAGAUGUACCCAGAAUUACGUUGUUACGUAUGGGCGUAGGGCCGGAUGGUGGGAGACAAAUGUACAAACCUGUAAAAUAUGACAGAAGUCCAAUAUGUGGAACAUCUGUUUCACAUUUUCCUUACAUAUGUUUUGGUUUUAGACUUAAACAAAAGACAGGCCAGGCAGUUGCUACCCUUCGUUUUUUUCACUGUAAUGAGCAGGAAGCUUGCCUGUCUGCUCCGAGGGUAGCUGCUGUCCUGCUCUCCCUUCGUACACUGUCUGUUUCCACUGGCCUGCCCCUCCUUUCCUUCUGAAGCUUGCUUUUAUGUAAACACGAGUAAAAAAUGUCAAAUCACCUCAUCUUCAAGAAGCCUUGCGUCACAGAAGUGAGGAGUUGCAGAAGGGUCGAAACCCAAACUGUUACGUUGAAAGUAUAACUGAGCUACAACUUUCUUUUUUUUUUUUGGUCAGGCUGAUAUUCGUAAACCCUUUGGAAAUUAAAGAAUAUUCUUUUGAGAAGCGCCUGAUUGUUGUGGAGACUGAUAAAUCACUAGGAGGUCACAUGGUGGAACGUGUUGCUAAGCAGUAUUUCCAGCCCUUGCUAUUUGAAUGCAUUUGGUCUUACCUUGGCCUAAUGUCAGAAGAACCUACCAGUGAAUGUGCAUGCAGGAGAACACAUAAGUACUCAAGGAAACUAUCUCAUCUGAAAUGUAAAAAUGAAUAAAGAUUUGCACAUACGUAACAAA